rnacentral:rRNA from 1 species
GAAUUUUGGACAAUGGGCGAAAGCCUGAUCCAGCAAUGCCGCGUGCAGGAUGAAGGCCUUCGGGUUGUAAACUGCUUUUGUACGGAACGAAAAGCUUUGGGUUAAUAACCUGGAGUCAUGACGGUACCGUAAGAAUAAGCACCGUAUAACUACGUGCCAGCAGCCGCGGUAAGACGGAGGGUGAAAGCCUUAAUCGGAAUUACUGGGCUAAAGGCGGGCGCAGGCGGUUUUGUAAGACAGAGGUGAAAUCCCCGGGCUCAACCUGGGAACUGCCUUUGUGACUGCAAGGCUAGAGUACGGCAGAGGGGGGUGGAAUUCCGCGUGUAGCAGUGAAAUGCGUAGAUAUGCGGAGGAACACCGAUGGCGAAGGCAACCCCCUGGGCCUGUACUGACGCUCAUGCACGAAAGCGUGGGGAGCAAACA